ensembl:lncRNA
CCUGCCGCCAGCUGUUUGUUUAGAAAUUCUAGGUACAAUUAAAAGGCCUGCAUCUUGCGAUCUAAGGUUACGUGUAGUAUAGGAUCCACGGUUCCCCUGCCUUUACUAAACCUACUUUGGUCAUGGGACAUCAAUAAUGCUGCUCUCUAGGAAGCUGUGAGAGGCGUGACCUAGGGAGGAACUAGGUCAAGGGGCGUGGCCAUUCACUCCUGCACAGUUUCCACACAGCUGCAGCUCAUUCCAUUCAUCACCUCUGCAGUCUAUCUACCCAGGCUGUUCACCUCUUCGGUGCCAGAUUGUAAAACAACACUUGUGAUCCUGCUCAAACUGCUGCUGCCUGCUACUUACCUGAGUUACCUGCUUCACUGCCUCCCCGCUGGGACCUGUUGAGCCAUUACUCUGCCGCUUUCUGCUGAGCUGCUGACUUCCACCCUGCACUGCUCACUCACAUUCCCCUGGAUUUUUGUCGGUAAGUCAAGACUGGACUUUCUCAGACUGCCCACUCCGAUUCUCAGUUCUGCCCUGGAUUCCUCUCUGCCUGCCUGCCUGGCGCAUCACUACCAUCCAGAAGCUGC